rnacentral:sRNA from 1 species
UUUUUUAUGUAAUCAAAUCUAUGUAUGUAUAUAUAUGUGUGUUAAGAAAAGACGCUUACUUGUGCAAACGGAUGUAUUGAUGAAUGCAUAUCAAAUAGAGGAGUGUUUUUAGAGUUGAGAAACAUACGGUAUGGUGCAUUGUCAAUAACAAAGAGAGAAAAAUGUGUUAUAUAGUAUGAUUUUUAAUACUUUUAAUUUAAAAUAUAGAAAAUAGUGUUUGCUAUCUAUAGUUCUAAAACACACAUUUUCCAUUGCUUUUACUUUUGAAGUGCGGAUCUACCUGUUUUGGUAUGCGUUUGUCCUCCACAUAGUGUUAUUUGUUUUCAAAAAAA